rnacentral:lncRNA from 10 species
GCGCGAUGCUGCCCCGCCCCCUGAGGGCCGGCCCCCUGAAGCGCAAGAGAAGGAGGGGCGCGCAGGGAUCGCGCCUAGUCUCUCCGCCUGCGGAGCCGUGGGGUCCCGGCAGCCCGCAGGAGUGCUAAGUAAGGGUCCUUCAGGGCGGGAACCAGGUUCCAGGCAGGGACGCAGGCUACGUUCGAAUAAAAGUACCGAAGGUCAUAAGGCCCCAGUUCAGAUGGGACUUCCCCGCGUGACAGCACAGAGAUAACGGCCAGCCCUGGGCGAAGGUUACCACCAAAGAAUAUGAUUUUGGUCUAGGGGCUCCAGUUUCUGAAGCUGAAAACUACCAGAAUACUCUCCAGCUAGAACAAGAAGUGAGAAACCAAGAUAGAUUCAUCUCGACACUGAAAUUACAGAUUGAAGAUCUCAAACAGACAAAUCAUGGCUUGGAAGAAUAUGUUAGGAAACUCUUGGAUAGUAAGGAGGUGGUAAGCAGUCAAGUAGAUGAUUUAACCAGCCACAAUGAGCAUCUUUGUAAAGAAUUGAUUAAAAUUGACCAACUAGCAGAGCAACUCGAAAAAGAGAAAAAUUUUGUGGUGGAUUCCGCCAACAAGGAACUUGAAGAAGCCAAGAGAUAUCUACAAACUAAUAGAUACAUUUAUUUUCGUCUAUUUUCACAUAUGUAAUUGAUUUCAAUACCCAUUAAAAAAGAUUUUUACCAAACUAAAAAUAGAACUGCCAUGUGAUCCAG